rnacentral:rRNA from 1 species
UACGGGGGGAGCAAGCGUUGUUCGGAUUUACUGGGCGUAAAGGGCGCGUAGGCGGCGCAACAAGUCAGUUGUGAAAUCUCUGGGCUUAACCCAGAGCGGUCAACUGAUACUGUCGUGCUAGAGUGCGGAAGGGGCAACUGGAAUUCUCGGUGUAGCGGUGAAAUGCGUAGAUAUCGAGAGGAACACCUGCGGCGAAGGCGGGUAGCUGGGCCGACACUGACGCUGAUGCGCGAAAGCCAGGGGAGCGAACGGG